GGGGAGCUCAAGGGGUCUAUUUAUACUGCGAAAGAGGGGGGCGGGGUCCUUCUCCAGCGAGGCGAGGUGAACUGGUAGAUUUUGCAAUAAAAAAUUCUCUACAACGGCACUCAGGCUGCUUUGCUACUAAGGUGCAUUCGUUUGCUGGACAAGAAAAGAUGGAAAGUGCUGAGGAUCGCCUCGAGAUGACCUGGGAGCUCCGGUAAUUUGUAGUUGUCCUCUUCUAGUCGUCUUGGUCAUGUAAUAUAGAUUUGACUGGUGAACGGUGGUGACUCUUCUCUUGUGUUGGUUGUUUUGUUCCUAGCUGACUAGAAAGGUUAUCCUUUUAGUUGUUUGUCCUGGAUACAUUCCUGGUUUUGACGCUGUGCCUCAUUUAAUAAAGUGGGGCAGGGGGAAACCCCUUUCUAUU